GGGAAGAUGGCUCAGUGGUUGAAAGCACUGACUGUUCAAUCAGAAGAUCCAGGUUCAAUUCCUAGUACCCA
rnacentral:tRNA from 1 species